ensembl:processed_transcript A430010J10Rik RIKEN cDNA A430010J10 gene
UUGUUAGUCCUUCCCACUUUAGUAUGAUUGACAAGACAUGAGGCCUGAAAAGUCAGAUUAAGCAUUAACGCUUUAUCACUUACUUGUGACAUUUGGCAAGUUACCCAACCUCUCCAAGCCUGUUUUCUUAUUUCUUAAAUAGAAAAUAAUUUUUAAAAAGAUCUUUUUAAGAGGAAACUUUCCGGGCAGUGGUGGCGCAUGCUUUUAAACCCAGCACUUGGGAGGCAGAGGCAGGUGGAUUUCUGAGUUCGAGGCCAGCCUGGUCUACAUAGUGAGUUCCNAAAAAAAAAAAAAAAAAAAAAAGGAACCUCCUCCAGUCACUGAGCAAAGGUCUUUUGGGCUGGUGUAUGAAGCAGGAAGUUACCUGAGCAUAGGAUUCCUGAGGAAAAGGGGAAGGAUGGGGCACGGGAGAAAGCUUCAACAUGCUUUGUUUCAGGCCAUCUUGAUGAAGGAGCGGUCUGUGUAAACAUUUUACACAGUUCCUGCUCAACCCUACAGGGGCAACUUUUUUUCCCUAUUUGCAUUAACUCCCCAAGGUGAAAUCCUCCUGCCUUUGCUUCACAACUUUUCCUUUUAUUUAGUGUCAAAAGUUCUGGCGGUCUGGUGGAGUUAUAAAUCAUUGCCAAUGUCAAGGUGAAAAGGAUGCUGAACAGUCAUCAGUAGUUGAGAAGAACCUCAAGCCAGCAUUUGGGAAGACUCAGCCAGACUUUGUGAAUGAUCUGAGUGACCUGAGAGUCUGGGGGGAGGCACACAGAAGAGAGGAAAGAGAAAGGCAAGCACAUGCAGGUUUUCAGCCUGGGAACCCAGUGCUCCUGGUAACAUGAUUCACUGUGGAAGGGGAUGGAAGAAGAGGAAGUGAUCUGAGAAGCAGGCAGAGUGUCACCAAAGGCACUCUUUGUUCUUAAGGCUAAGGAGGAGAGGCUGAGGAGUGUCUUCAUUCUCCAUACUAGUCCUGAAAAAGCCUUUUGCCAAGAACCCUGGAAUGUUCCCUGCUUGGACGAUCCAAAUUUCCUGCAGAGGUGCACAAACCUAAGAGGUCUCAGCUGUUUUCCUUGUCCUUUCCAAGGGUCAAGCCAGCAGUUCCUGAUCUCUCUUCAAACUAGACUCCAAGAAUGACAAAAGGUGUAUGUCUCCAGCACAGGAUGGCUAUGCUCACCUAAUCGGUAAUAGUUUCUAAGAAGCAUCCAGGCGUAGUGUAUAAGCCUUUAUUUUUGUUUUGUUUCGUUUUUAAAGGAAAGAGUGCACAGAAUUCAAUAGUGUAAGUGUAAAAUCCAGUGUGAAGCUCUAUCCAUGGCUUCAGAAUGGCUGUUCUAACUAUAUAGAAGUUCACUGAGGGGCUGGCGAAAUGGCUCAGUGGGUAAGAGCACUGACUGCUUUCCAAAGGUCCUGACUGCUCUUCCAAAGAUCCUGAGUUCAAAUCCCAGCAACCACACGGUAGCUCACAACCACCCAUAAUGAGAUCUGAUGCCCUCUUCUGGUGCUUCUGAAGUCAGCUAGAGUGUACUUAUGUAUAAUAAUAAAUAAAUCUUUGGGCCUGGGCGAUCAGGGUUGACCGGAGCGAGCAGAGGUCCUAAAAAUGCAAUUUCCAACAACAUGAAGUCUCACAACCAUCUGUACAGCUACAGUGUACUCAUAUACAUAACAAAUCAAUAAAUAAAUCUUUUAAGAAUUAAAAUAAAAUAAAAAGAAAUUCAUUGAGGUAUAUAGGCCUUGGAGCUGUUUCAUUUUGGUGUGUGUGUGUUGUUUGAUUGUAUUUUCAAGGUUCCUUUUAAAUAAUAAAGUUUAUAAGAGAAGAUGAGAGACCUUUUAGUGAAAAUAGCAAAUGUGUGCACCGUGGGACUGGUACCAGUAAGACUUGACUCAUGUACCUUGGUGUGUCAACACCACAGAUGUUUACCUAAAAGUGUGUUUUGUACCACCACUGUGGGCCCUUUCAAAUUUCAUAAGAUAUGUAUAGCCAGCACCUAGUGCACUGACUUGAGACAAGAAAAAGUCAAAUUGAGUUUUCUUUCUCAGCAGAUUUCUCUGAGGGGAGAAACCAAAGCCUCAAAGCCCAGCCUGAGAGCUAAGGAGAUGACCUGGGAGGUUAAGAACACUGGCUGUGCCUGCGGAGGACACAAGUUUGGUUCCUAGCAUCCACAUAGGACAACACGGAACUUCUAUAAAUCCAGCCGCCCAGGAUCCGACAUCCUCUGCUGGUACUUACACUCAUUCAUAUUCACACCAUUUAAAGACUUUUGAAUGAAUCUUAAAAAUAGAAAAGAAACAAACAAGAGUAAGAAACCAAGCCUGGCAUUUAGCCCAUGUUUCCAACCCUUUAGAUGGGUUAUUUCAAUUAACUUUCAGAAUUAAACCACAAAGAGGGUUAGGGGUAUAGCCCAUUUUAAGAGGUGCUUGCCUAGCAUACACUACACCUGGUUCUGAUCCCAGGGCACAUAUACACAAAAGUAGAGAGAUUAGUCUCCUCCAAGGGGGUGAGAGCACUGCCUAACACCACAUUAGCUAACACACGAUGGUCAUGAGCACAGGAUGUCACAUCACGCCCCAGGUGAUCUGUGCAUGUCUUCAUUGCUGUCAUUUAAUUCUACCUGACAUUUCUGUUUACCAUUCUGAUUACCAAGGGAGAUUCGUGUAAUUUCCUGUCAUCCACCCAGUGUUAGCAAAACGUUAAGUCUUGACCAUGAAGGAAUUGUCUGGAUCUACUUGGGGCUGAUCAGUAAGUGGCCACUCUUUGCAAGUGUUUGCACAGAUGGCUGCCUCAGUACACAGAGGUGCUCUAGCUAUAAGGACGGAGGGCAUAAAAACAGUAAGCUGGGCUCGGGGCACAGUACACUACUGGGAGAGCGAGGCUUAGAAUGUCCAAGGUCCUGAGGUACCUUAUGUUUACAAUGAGGCAAAUCUGGGCAAGAGAUAGUCAGGCGUUCAAGGAGCAAACAAGUGGGAAAAGAUGGAAGUGUUUGGAGGAGACUCGAAGCUUUGUGUUUCCUCUUUGAAUCAUUUACUUCUCCAGCUAGUUAUUCUUUACGUUGUUUGCAAGGUCUUGUCUUUCCCAUUUGAAACGCAGUUGGCCAGCAGCUGGAGAUGCUGAACACUGGCGUGUAUAAAACCCUAGGCUCCAUUCUCAACAGGUUU